rnacentral:rRNA from 1 species
AGAGUUUGAUCCUGGCUCAGGAUGAACGCUGGCGGCGUGCCUAAUACAUGCAAGUCGAACGCUUCACUUCGGUGAAGAGUGGCGAACGGGUGAGUAAUACAUAAGUAACCUGGCAUCUACAGGGGGAUAACUGAUGGAAACGUCAGCUAAGACCGCAUAGGUGUAGAGAUCGCAUGAACUCUAUAUGAAAAGUGCUACGGGACUGGUAGAUGAUGGACUUAUGGCGCAUUAGCUGGUUGGUAGGGUAACGGCCUACCAAGGCGACGAUGCGUAGCCGACCUGAGAGGGUGACCGGCCACACUGGGACUGAGACACGGCCCAGACUCCUACGGGAGGCAGCAGUAGGGAAUUUUCGGCAAUGGGGGAAACCCUGACCGAGCAACGCCGCGUGAAGGAAGAAGUAAUUCGUUAUGUAAACUUCUGUCAUAGAGGAAGAACGGUGGAUAUAGGGAAUGAUAUCCAAGUGACGGUACUCUAUAAGAAAGCCACGGCUAACUACGUGCCAGCAGCCGCGGUAAUACGUAGGUGGCGAGCGUUAUCCGGAAUUAUUGGGCGUAAAGAGGGAGCAGGCGGCACUAAGGGUCUGUGGUGAAAGAUCGAAGCUUAACUUCGGUAAGCCAUGGAAACCGUAGAGCUAGAGUGUGUGAGAGGAUCGUGGAAUUCCAUGUGUAGCGGUGAAAUGCGUAGAUAUAUGGAGGAACACCAGUGGCGAAGGCGACGAUCUGGCGCAUAACUGACGCUCAGUCCCGAAAGCGUGGGGAGCAAAUAGGAUUAGAUACCCUAGUAGUCCACGCCGUAAACGAUGAGUACUAAGUGUUGGGAGUCAAAUCUCAGUGCUGCAGUUAACGCAAUAAGUACUCCGCCUGAGUAGUACGUUCGCAAGAAUGAAACUCAAAGGAAUUGACGGGGG